rnacentral:rRNA from 1 species
CCUACGGGUGGCAGCAGUGGGGAAUAUUGGGCAAUGGAGGCAACUCUGACCCAGCAACGCCGCGUGAAUGAUGAAGGUCUUCGGAUUGUAAAGUUCUUUUCUAAGGGAAGAAGAAAGUGACACUACCUUAGGAAUAAGCCUCGGCGAACUACGUGCCAGCAGCCGCGGUAAUACGGAGGGGGCAAGCGUUAUCCGGAAGGACUGGGCGUAAAGGGUUCGUAGGUGGUUUGACAAGUUAGUAGCGCAACUCCGGGGCCCAACUCCGGAACUGCUGCUAAAACUGUUGGACGUGAGUGCAGGAGAGGUAAGCGGAAUUCCUAGUGUAGCGGUGAAAUGCGUAGAUAUUAGGAGGAACACCAGUGGCGAAGGCGGAUUACUAGACUGUAACUGACACUGAGGCACGAAAGCGUGGGGAGCAAACAGGAUUAGAUACCCUAGUAGUC